GAUGAACGCCGGCGGUGUGCCUAAUACAUGCAAGUCGAACGCGUUGGCCCAAUUGAUUGAUGGUGCUUGCACCUGAUUGAUUUUGGUCGCCAACGAGUGGCGGACGGGUGAGUAACACGUAGGUAACCUGCCCAGAAGCGGGGGACAACAUUUGGAAACAGAUGCUAAUACCGCAUAACAGCGUUGUUCGCAUGAACAACGCUUAAAAGAUGGCUUCUCGCUAUCACUUCUGGAUGGACCUGCGGUGCAUUAGCUUGUUGGUGGGGUAACGGCCUACCAAGGCGAUGAUGCAUAGCCGAGUUGAGAGACUGAUCGGCCACAAUGGGACUGAGACACGGCCCAUACUCCUACGGGAGGCAGCAGUAGGGAAUCUUCCACAAUGGGCGCAAGCCUGAUGGAGCAACACCGCGUGAGUGAAGAAGGGUUUCGGCUCGUAAAGCUCUGUUGUUAAAGAAGAACACGUAUGAGAGUAACUGUUCAUACGUUGACGGUAUUUAACCAGAAAGUCACGGCUAACUACGUGCCAGCAGCCGCGGUAAUACGUAGGUGGCAAGCGUUAUCCGGAUUUAUUGGGCGUAAAGAGAGUGCAGGCGGUUUUCUAAGUCUGAUGUGAAAGCCUUCGGCUUAACCGGAGAAGUGCAUCGGAACUGGAUAACUUGAGUGCAGAAGAGGGUAGUGGAACUCCAUGUGUAGCGGUGGAAUGCGUAGAUAUAUGGAAGAACACCAGUGGCGAAGGCGGCUACCUGGUCUGCAACUGACGCUGAGACUCGAAAGCAUGGGUAGCGAACAGGAUUAGAUACCCUGGUAGUCCAUGCCGUAAACGAUGAGUGCUAGGUGUUGGAGGGUUUCCGCCCUUCAGUGCCGGAGCUAACGCAUUAAGCACUCCGCCUGGGGAGUACGACCGCAAGGUUGAAACUCAAAGGAAUUGACGGGGGCCCGCACAAGCGGUGGAGCAUGUGGUUUAAUUCGAAGCUACGCGAAGAACCUUACCAGGUCUUGACAUCUUGCGCCAACCCUAGAGAUAGGGCGUUUCCUUCGGGAACGCAAUGACAGGUGGUGCAUGGUCGUCGUCAGCUCGUGUCGUGAGAUGUUGGGUUAAGUCCCGCAACGAGCGCAACCCUUGUUACUAGUUGCCAGCAUUAAGUUGGGCACUCUAGUGAGACUGCCGGUGACAAACCGGAGGAAGGUGGGGACGACGUCAGAUCAUCAUGCCCCUUAUGACCUGGGCUACACACGUGCUACAAUGGACGGUACAACGAGUCGCGAACUCGCGAGGGCAAGCAAAUCUCUUAAAACCGUUCUCAGUUCGGACUGCAGGCUGCAACUCGCCUGCACGAAGUCGGAAUCGCUAGUAAUCGCGGAUCAGCAUGCCGCGGUGAAUACGUUCCCGGGCCUUGUACACACCGCCCGUCACACCAUGAGAGUUUGUAACACCCAAAGUCGGUGGGGUAACCUUUUAGGAGCCAGCCGCCUAAGGUGGGACAGAUGAUUAGGGUG
rnacentral:rRNA from 2 species